CCUAAGGUAGCGAAAUUCCUUGUCGGGUAAGUUCCGACCUGCACGAAUGGCGUAAUGAUGGCCAGGCUGUCUCCACCCGAGACUCAGUGAAAUUGAAAUCGCUGUGAAGAUGCAGUGUACCCGCGGCAAGACGGAAAGACCCCGUGAACCUUUACUACAGCUUGACACUGAACACUGGUCCUUGAUGUGUAGGAUAGGUGGGAGGCUUCGAAGCGUGGACGCCAGUCUGCGUGGAGCCGUCCUUGAAAUACCACCCUUUAAUGGCUGGUGUUCUAACGUAGGCCCGUUACCCGGGCUGCGGACAGUGUCUGGUGGGUAGUUUGACUGGGGCGGUCUCCUCCCAAAGCGUAACGGAGGAGCACGAAGGUUGGCUAAUCCUGGUCGGACAUCAGGAGGUUAGUGCAAUGGCAUAAGCCAGCUUGACUGCGAGAGUGACGGCUCGAGCAGGUGCGAAAGCAGGUCAUAGUGAUCCGGUGGUUCUGAAUGGAAGGGCCAUCGCUCAACGGAUAAAAGGUACUCCGGGGAUAACAGGCUGAUACCGCCCAAGAGUUCAUAUCGACGGCGGUGUUUGGCACCUCGAUGUCGGCUCAUCACAUCCUGGGGCUGAAGUAGGUCCCAAGGGUACGGCUGUUCGCCGUUUAAAGUGGUACGCGAGCUGGGUUUAGAACGUCGUGAGACAGUUCGGUCCCUAUCUGCCGUGGGCGCUGGAAAACUGAGGGGGGUUGCUCCUAGUACGAGAGGACCGGAGUGAACGCACCGCUGGUGUUCGGGUUGUCAUGCCAAUGGCACUGCCCGGUAGCUAAGUGCGGAAGAGAUAAGUGCUGAAAGCAUCUAAGCACGAAACUUGCCCCGAGAUGAGUUUUCCCUGACCCCUUGAGGGUCCUGAAGGGACGUUGAAGACGACGACGUUGAUAGGCCGGGUGUGUAAGCGCAGCGAUGCGUUGAGCUAACCGGUACUAAUGACCCGUGAGGCUUAACCUU
rnacentral:rRNA from 1 species